UGUUUGUUGGGAGAAAGAAGGGAUUGAGUGAGAGAAAAGCAUAGCCUUGAGAAAAACUAAGUCUCAAAUUUUUACAAACAGUUCUAUGCUGCAAUUGAAAGCUUUAAAAAUGCACUGGUCUUAGAGCCAAAUGAUGGUAAGUUGUGAUUUUGUAUAAGGCCUUAGUUAGACAAGAACUACUAGUGUACUUAUAUAGGUGGACAUUUAAUUUUGUUA